rnacentral:lncRNA from 1 species
UCUGAGUAAAAUCAUCCAGGCCAUUUUCUCAUCUCAACAGCAAUGACUGGGGAGUCGGUCCAUUGACCAAAACCUAGCCACACCAAAGGGAGGACCCUGUUGCUCAACUGUGAAAUCAGAGUGUCUGCAAGGAAGAAAAUGAAACCAUGGAUGUAACCACAGUACCUGGCUUGCAGAAAUGGCAAUGGCUUAAAUAUAGAGUGGUUGCUGGAUUCACAUCACCCUGGCCCCAUACGCAAGAACCCUAAACCAAACAAGGCCGGAUACUUUCUCUCAGAUUUGUAGAGGACACUCUAGAAGUCUGGUUCCUCACUAUUGGCAUUUGAUCCAAGACUGCAGAUAACACCCAAGGUGGUCAUUCAGGAAAAGGCUCAGGAGGUGGUGGAAGGUGAGGAGGAGAAGGCUGGCGUUGAUCUCUGGCCUACACAUAUGUAAACACACAUACACACGUACACACACAUGAAGAGAAGGAGGAGAAAGAAAAGAAGGAGGAGGAGGAGGGAGAGGAGGGGGGAGGGGAAGGGAGGGAAGGGGACGAUAAGAGGAGGAAGAAGAGGAAGAGGUAAAAGAAAAGAAGAAAAGGGAGAGAGGAGAGAGAGUGGAGGGACAAGGAGGAGACCACACACUUUCAUGAGCCUUCUUGACUUCUCCCACUGAACCCAUUUUCUGAUGAGCUUGCUCUGAAACAUUAGUCUCCUGGGCCCUCCUUGGCUCCCUGGCUCCUCUCUGGCCUUUUCUAGAGCAUCUAGUUGCUCUUUCUAUAGAAGAUGUGAGGUUUAUAGAGGAGUCGUUCAGCCCCAAUCAGCCGGCUUCCUUGCAGAAAGACCACAGAUGGAUCCCUUAACUGGAGAGAAGGUGGAGCCCCUGCUGUCCAGGCAGGUGAUCCCAACCAGCCACCGUAAUCUCGGAACACUCUACUUACCUCUUCUAUAAAAUAAGGAUAGCCUGCUCCUCAACCCUGAUGGGCGAGCUGCUGAAAUCCUCUCUGAACGGACUCACUGAGCCACACUGCAC